CAUACCCAUCAACUCAUACGGUUUAGCCAUAGUUCAUACGGAUUUUGUGGUGAAUCUUACGUAUAUGGCCGUAUCGCACAAAUCAUACGGAUUCUGAAAAUUUCCGUUUUGUUUCCCCCCUAACAGGUAGUUCCGUUUGCUUUUGCCCAGAAUGAUGCUAGUCUACUCGAAUGCUUUCAUUUCCGGAAUACAACUCUGAACACAGUAAUGCCACUAAGUAGAAUGAUGAUUAGACAUUAACCAGACAUUGUAUUAUGGAGAUCUACAAUAAAUAUCAUUGAAAAUUU